UGGGGAAUAUUGCACAAUUGGCGCAAGCCUGAUGCAGCCAUGCCGCGUGUAUGAAGAAGGCCUUCGGGUUGUAAAGUACUUUCAGCGGGGAGGAAGGGAGUAAAGUUAAUACCUUUGCUCAUUGACGUUACCCGCAGAAGAAGCACCGGCUAACUCCGUGCCAGCAGCCGCGGUAAUACGGAGGGUGCAAGCGUUAAUCGGAAUUACUGGGCGUAAAGCGCACGCAGGCGGUUUGGUAAGUCAGAUGUGAAAUCCCCGGGCUCAACCUGGGAACUGCAUCUGAUACUGGCAAGCUUGAGUCUCGUAGAGGGGGGUAGAAUUCCAGGUGUAGCGGUGAAAUGCGUAGAGAUCUAGGGGAAUACCGGUGGCGAAGGCGGCCCCCUGGACGAAGACUGACGCUCAGGUGCGAAAGCGUGGGGAGCAAACAGG
rnacentral:rRNA from 1 species